AUACACAUUACACAAACUCUAAAUAUCUCUUUCUCUCGAGCCUUCAUUGUCCUCUAACCUCACGCCGUCCUCUUCUUCAACCUAAGCCUCUGCUUCUUUCUUCUUUUUUAAGCUCACUAUAUGUCCCAGAUAGGGACCAAUUAUUGAUAAGACUGUUUUAGAUAUGUAUCAACAUUCCAUCUUCGUAUUCUUCUUCUUUCUUUAGUUCUUCAUCAUCUCUCUCAAGCCCUCAACGAUUUGCAUUCAAGCACAUAAUGGAUUUGCUCAUAGUUUUCUUUUCUUUCAGGGACUUAAGCAGGAGGUGGAACAGUGUCGCUCAUUUAAGCAAAAAGUGGUACAACUUGUUAAUUUCUUUUCUAUUUGUUCAAGUAUCUUUUGCAGUUCACUUUAGGUUCUGUCUUUCUGGAAACUGGAUAAUAAAUGAAAAUUAAAAAAAUAUGUGUACCUCUUUUUAACUCAUUUCCCAUGUGUUUUGGUUAAAAUGGUAUAUGAGUCUUUUAGUUGGAAAAGCAAAAGAAAAGUUAACGUGUUCAAUGUUUUUACGCUUCUUAUUAAUGUUCACUACUUUAAAAAUACAUAUUUGACAAAGUUAUUCUUGCAGUGUAUAUUCUCAAUUACUUUUCAUUUUCUCCAAAGGUUUGCUGUAUAACAUGUAGUUUAGAUUAUAUGGACAUGUUCUACGGAAUAGAACAAAAGGAGAUUGAGUGAGAGUUGUGCAGACAUAUCAAAUACAAAAGUGAUUUUGGAUUUUGAAGCUCUUGCUUUAAUGCCUUAGUGUUUAAUUUUAGUUCGAACGGCUUUCUUUUUUAGUUUAGUUCUGUUAGUUUUUAUUUCUUUAGAGACAUUGUGCAUAUUGAAUUCUCUACUAUUCUAAUGGGAACAUAGGGUUUCAAUGCUCUGCUAUUUUUCUUACCAGUAUAGAACUAUAUUUUAGAAAGUGUAGUUUAGAGUUCUAUUUAUUGUCAAGAAUGAACAACCGACUUAUUCUUCAUUGUCAUUAUUCUGCACUAAAAGAUCAGAACAUCUGUAGUAGCAUUAAAAUGUCUGAGUUACAUAUGUGGAUUUAAUCUUUACUUGCAUAACCUUCAGCCGGUCUAUUUGCAUGCUGCAAGUGGCAUUACUGAUAUUGCAAUUUAUAUGACUUCAUUAUUUUAUCAAGAAAUAUGAAUUCAUUACUUUGAAGAUGAUAGUUAUAGUUUGAUUAUAGGAAAAAAACCAUAUGGAAUCAAUUAAUUUUCUUAGACCCAAGAUUUCAUUCUUGAGUUCAAACUUGAUGUAGCAAUUUAAUGAUUCAUUUUUUGUCUCUUUGUCCUAAUUAAACUCUAAAAAAACGGUUUAAUCUCUAAUUUUGUAUGUAACUGAUGGUCUUAUAUUAAUGUUGCAGACUCCUAUGGAGUAUUUGUAUAAGGCGACUCAUAAUAAAGGAGAAUCUAAUAGAAAUUUCAAAGGAGGCAAAGAUAAAAUAUCUUAUGAAACAAUGGAGUUCAUCACAUUAUGUUAUCUUGUAGUACUAAUUUUUAUUAUUAGAAUUUAUUUUUAUGUCAUAG
rnacentral:lncRNA from 1 species